GCGUUUGUGGUUUAGUGGUAAAAUUCAUCGUUGCCAUCUGCCUCCGCAGGUCAAGUUCGAUGAGCCCCGGGUUCAAUUCCCGGCAGACGCA
rnacentral:tRNA from 1 species